CUUCGAAAGGAUGGGUAAUUCCCGGUAAGACCUCAGCUUCGCAUGGUGCAUCGGUAAAGGGUUGGGAUCUUCGGACCUUCCGCUCGAGGAGGGGAGCUCGUCCUAUUAGCUUGUUGGUGGGGUAACGCGCCUACCAAGGCGACGAUGGGUAGCCGGCCUGAGAGGGUGUCCGGACACCCUGGGACUGAGACACGGCCCACACUCCUACAGGAAGGCAGCAGUGCUGAAUCAUUCGCCAAUGCGCGAAAGCGUGACUUUUCGACGCCACGUGGAGGAUGAAGGCCUUCGGGUUGUAAACUCCUGUCAUGGUGCAGAAAACCACAGUGGUGAAUAGCCGCUGUGCUGAUUCACACCCAAAGGAAGCACAGGCUAAUCUCGUGCCAGCUGCCGCGGUACUACGAGGUGUGCAAGCGUUGUUCGGUGUCUCUGGGCGUAAAGGGUGCAUAGGCGGCUUGCCCAGUCGGUAUGAGAAAUCUCCCGGCUCAGCCGGGGAAUUGCUUCCGAAACUGCCAAGCUUGAUGAUGGGAGGGGCUAUCGGAAUUCCGGGUGUAGCGGUGGAAUGCGUAGAUAUUCGGGAGAACGCAGACGACGAAGUCAGCUUGCUGGAACAUUCCUGACGCUGAGGCACGAAAGCUAGGGGAGCAAACAGGCUUAGAUACCCUGGUAGUCCUAGCCGUAAACGAUGGGCACUUGGUUUCGGGGAGACUGAUCUCCUCGGGUCCGUAGCUAACGCGUUAAGUGCUCCGCCUGGGGAGUAUGGUCGCAAGGCUGAAACUCAAAAGAAUUGACGGGGCCUCACACAAGCGGUGGAGCAUGUUGUUCAAUUCGAAGCAACGCGAAGAACCUUACCUGGGCUUGACAUGCUGGCAGUAGGAACCUGAAAGGGGGACCACCGGUAUCCAGUCCGGAACCAGCACAGGUGCUGCAUGGCUGUCGUCAGCUCGUGUCGUGAGACGUCGGGUUAAGUCCCAUAACGAGCGAAACCCCUGUCCUUAGUUGCUACCGGGUCAUGCCGGGCACUCUAGGGAGACUGCCGGUGUUAAUCCGGAGGAAGGUGGGGACGACGUCAAGUCAUCAUGGUCCUUACGUCCAGGGCUACAAACGUGCUACAAUGGCAGGGACAGAGAGACGCGAUACCGC
rnacentral:rRNA from 1 species